rnacentral:rRNA from 1 species
UACGUAGGGGGCAAGCGUUGUCCGGAAUCAUUGGGCGUAAAGAGCGUGUAGGCGGCUCGGUCAGUCCGCUGUGAAAGUCCAGGGCUCAACCCUGGAAUGCCGGUGGAAACUGUCGAGCUAGAGUCCGGAAGAGGCGAGUGGAAUUCCUGGUGUAGCGGUGAAAUGCGCAGAUAUCAGGAGGAACACCAAUGGCGAAGGCAGCUCGCUGGGACGGUACUGACGCUGAGACGCGAAAGCGUGGGGAGCAAACAGG